rnacentral:rRNA from 1 species
AUUGAACGCUGGCGGCAUGCUUUACACAUGCAAGUCGAACGGUAACAGGCCGCAAGGUGCUGACGAGUGGCGAACGGGUGAGUAAUGCAUCGGAACGUGCCCAGUCGUGGGGGAUAACUACUCGAAAGAGUAGCUAAUACCGCAUACGAUCUAUGGAUGAAAGCGGGGGACCGUAAGGCCUCGCGCGAUUGGAGCGGCCGAUGUCAGAUUAGGUAGCUGGUGGGGUAAAGGCUCACCAAGCCAACGAUCUGUAGCUGGUCUGAGAGGACAACCAGCCACACUGGGACUGAGACACGGCCCAGACUCCUACGGGAGGCAGCAGUGGGGAAUUUUGGACAAUGGGCGCAAGCCUGAUCCAGCAAUGCCGCGUGCAGGAAGAAGGCCUUCGGGUUGUAAACUGCUUUUGUACGGAACGAAACGGCUCUGGUUAAUACCCGGGGCUAAUGACGGUACCGUAAGAAUAAGCACCGGCUAACUACGUG